AUGAGGACAUUGCGGUCCUUUGACCUGUGUCAUCUGUGUCCACAUCGCACACCUGCUCUGUCACGAUCCAGGAUAUGUUAGCCUUAUUGCAAUGCAAAACUGGAAAUAUGCACGGCUGCUGAUUUUAUUUGUGAAACCGACACGCAGACCAAGGUUUAUGGAUGGGUGGGGUUAACCGUACAUGCGUCUGUUGGAUGGAUAUUACUACAUGAAGAGGACCUCAGCGGAGCAAUGGCAAUCUGUCAGUGGCUUAUCGCGUCCGAUAGCUGAAGAAAACAACGGACCCGCUGCGAUUCCUGCUAUGGAACGACAUGCUACAGUCAGGUGCAGAGAGGAAAGUAACCAUGAAAAACGGAGGAACUGGCUUCUGCUCGUCUGUCUGCGACUGCUGGGUAUCAUUGGCUGUGGGAGAUUAGCGGGGUGUGCUGUGCAUGAAUCAGGGAGAUACUGUGACUAAAUGUCUGCUUCAUGCUUAUCAGCGCAAUGAAUGGAAUCCUCAGAGACACGGGGAUAAGGUGAAGUGUGGGCACAGAGUCAGAGAGACUGCUAUCUGAUCUGGGAGACGCUCAUGCAGACUUGAUUGUACUCUGAUAUUAUUGUCUGUGCCACCGAGGACAGAAGCACACAGGUUAUAAUGUGGAGAAAUUGAUGUCACGAAAGAACAAGACACACGAGACACAUCACUGUGCCUGGCUGGUCUCUACUGUGGUUGUCUUUCUCUUUGUCAGUUUAGCAGAACAAAAAAGUGUUACCAUUUAUUUCUGUCAAAUUUAGAUUUUACAGUAAGUGUAGUGACUACUAUGUAGUUGUAAAUGAAAAAAGGUACAAUGUACUUAUUGCGUUCAUGUUUUCAUUUUGAAAUAGAAAUGCAAUGCAAAACCAUGUUCCAAAACAUCCCCAGAUCCUACAUUUCAGUCCUAAGCUACAAUUAAAAAUAUAUUGUGAACAAUAAUUGACAAGCGGCUGACAAAAACGUUUGAUUUUAUGCAAGAUAUUAUCAAAAAGUAGAAUAUACAUAUAAGUGUGCACUGGUACAUACCGUGUACAUAUUUUGUAUCAUCCUGUUCUUAUCAGUUUUUUUCUCAGUGUUUCACACUAUGUAUUUCAAGAUACAUUUCAUGACAAUCUUUCAAUCUUUUACAACAUUCCGCCAAGCAGCAUCUACAACAAACGAAAUGUUACGUCUCUAUAACGACGACUGGCUCCUCAGAGGCUUUGGAAUUUAGAAAACACAGUGCUGAAAAUAAGUUACCAAGUAAAGAUUAUAAUGACCGGGAGCUAUUACAACACGAGCUGUUCUCUUGCAGGAUGAACUCACUAUCGUGGCGUAUUAUUUAUUAACAGGUAAACUAUAAAUGAAUGCAUGCCCUAAUGCUUAUAAUCUCCGCUUGUUUGAUUUGCAGGUGCUUACCUGCUUUAAAAGAAACGUUUAAAGCUUCGGAAAUAUAUGACAAAUUAGUUUUGAUCAGCGAAAAUGCACGUUUAAAGGAAGUGCUCGCACACACACAAAAAAUACAUUUGCUGAAAAUACAUUACCUUCAGGCCAUCCAAGAUUUCAUGGGAAAAGAUUUGGAAAAAUUUAGCAUUGCAUCACUUGCUCACCAACGGAUCCUCUGCGGUGAAUGGCUGCCAUCAGAAUAAAAGUCCAUACAACUGUAAAAAAACAAUAUUACAAUAAUCUACACAAAACAUUUCUAAACUAAUUUGUGAGCGGGACAACAGGGGAUGGACUUUUCCACUGGAGGAAGCAUAUCGCUAUUAUUUUUAAACACACAUCGUGUGUCCUUACGCAUAAAAGCAGCAACGCGGUGAGGAUCACAAUCCAGAUUAAGAGAAACGAAGAGCAGUGAUGCAUUUUCACUCGACAUUCUCUGAGUGUCUGGAACUUGGCUCGCUUUUCACAUUCAGGUUCAGUCCUGGCGAUGGAGCCAGAUUAGUGUGUUUAUUCAAGUGGAAGGAGAUCAGUUGUGAAUGAUGUGAACGGCCACAAAUCGACAUUUGAACUAUGAACAUUUGGAAUGUUUUAAUCGUAGCUUAGAGCAGCCUUAGGUUUAAUCGCCGCCAUCCGGGUGGGGGGCCGCGAAGGGAGCUCACCAUUACGGUUACUUGACGUUAGUAAAUGCACACACUGAUAUAUUCCGCCCUUGGACGAUCUUCGGUGAAGCGAGCACAAGCAUAAAGAGCGAAAUGAAAUAUGUAACAUGAAUGAACCCAGACAGUCUUCCCAAAGGCUCUGUUAGUGUAUGCAUGCGUGUCUAUCUGUAUCACUCUGAUUUGCAACUUCUAGUCGCUAUGUCAUCAGCCAGGCUCACUUACAUAAAGACACUUCCUUCUCUCGUGACUUAACACCAACUUUUCAUUGUUACACGAAGUCUAUUUUUAAUUAAGCAGGUUCUGUUACUCACAUGUUUACACAUGUCAUUCCAAACCAGCAUUUUUUCAGUGAACACAAACCUUAGUUGCUUCCAUGACAAGCUCAUAGAUCAAAGUUCGGUGACAGAGGUAGUUCAUACUACUUCUAUGUGAAGUCUUUUGAAGUGUUAUGAUUUAUGUGAGAAACAAAAAUAUUAAAAAAAUGAACUAAAUAUGCGUUUUAAGUUCUUUGGAUGUAGAAGUCAUCAUGUAGGUGUCUUUAUAAAGAUGUUUUAAUGCAGCUCAAAGAUGAAAUGAAUACAUUUACAAUGCAAUUACAAUUAGACAUUCAUUUUUUAAAUAAAGAAAAGCUGUCUCCAUUUAUUCAUAGAUGUGUCUUUACUGAAUUCUGUCCAUUGACACCACAUCUGUUAAAAACUGGCACUAAUGUUCGACAGAUCGUUCUUAUAUCCAGAUUCAUGAAAUGAUCCAUUUGCACACUGGAUUAUUUUUCUAUGCACUUUUUAAUGUCCAUAUUCAUUGCACAACUGUAACAUAUUGUAGAUAUUGUAUAUCCUGCACUUCUGCUUAUUGUCCUUCUGGUUAGAUGCUAACUGCAUUUUGUUGCCCUGUACCUUAUAUGUGUAAUGACAAUGAUGUUAAAUCUAAUGUAAUCUAAAAAAGCAAAUUAAUGUCUUCAUCCAACAGAUCAUUAAAUCGUUGAUUCACCUGGUAUGUUCCAAACUGUUAACUUUUUUGUUAAUGUUUCUGCCAGUACAUCAUUUCAAACAAGUAUUUUUAUUGCAUGAUUUAAAAAAUACAUUUGCAUU